GUCCGGGCAGCUCGUAGGUCUGAGGAGCGCUCGUAAGAGGGAAUUCGACACAGCCGGGCAAACCCUACUCAAUUGGAGUAGGACUUGAGUUGGAAACUGCGGUCUCACCGCCUAUUAGUGGGAAAAACAUAUUUCUAGAGUGCUUCCGCCCGCCGCCAGCCAUGGGCUGGGACUACAAGUCCAGGCCGGCCGGAGUCCAGGAGUGGGGGCGGGGGAGGGCGGCGGUGGGAAGAGAGGCAUGCUGGGAACUGUAGUAGUGUCAUCUCCGCGUUCGCAGCAGAAAUAACCACUUCCAGAUGUGCACUUCCAAAUGUCUUCCUAUGCAUUUACAUACAGUUGUUUUCCAGGUCGGAGGUAUGAUUGACUUCCUUUUGCAAGGAUAGAAUUGCUUAAAUGACAUGGGUUCCUGAAUAGAAGGCCAAAAAGGAAGAGAAGAGUGUCCACUUAGCAAACAAUGAAAAGAUAUAUUGAAGACAACACGGUGUAAGACUCACAAACCUCCUGAGAUCUUUUGUUUUCAUUAAUUCAAUACUGAGACUGCAUACUGAGAAAACAGACACAUGGAAUUUAUAACCUAACCAGGAGGAUAGACACUAAACAAAUAAUUCGAUGUAAUUCGAGGAUGCAGGAGUGGUCCAGUCCAUGCAUGUCCGGCCAUUGUUGACAAGACACUCAACUGUAUCUGGAUAGUCCCAUAAAAAUCAGACCCCUGGGCUCUCUCUCUCUCCAGGACAGCCUUGCACAAUAGGAUGCAGGAGAAUUUCACACUUCAAGCUUACUCCACUGGGUAAAGAACAGUACUUACAGAAAGGAAAACCCUGGAGCUUUGUACUCUGAGACCUCCACCCACUGAGAGCAUAGUCAGUCGCCUUUCCUUCCCUGCAGUCUCAGGAUCGCUGGGGAGGAGAGCUUUCAGGAGACGGGUGAGGAGACCUGGAGAACUGGAAUGGGCUGGUGCUGCUGGAAGACCUCAGCGCUGGGGGUGUGCAUGGCCUUGCGGAAGCUGGAGCCUUCAAGGCCUUCUGGUUCGUGAUCCUGCCAUUGUGUCCAUUGCUUCAAAGGUGAGAGUAUUAAGACUAAUAAUUCCUAAAGGACACGGUUUUGUAGUAUGAAUCUCUUCUUAACAAAAUACGGCACAACAUGAAAGAGGGUUCAUAGUGCAGGCUUUCAGGCUGCUGUAUUCUCCUCUCCCCAGUGUCUGUGGCUCUGCUGUUUCGUGUCAGGAAUCUGGCUUCUGGCCAGAGACAGCAUAUUUUCCAAGCCUGUUGCUCUGAAAACUAUUGUCAUUCAGAAAAAUCCCCAGUUGCUUCUCAAAUUAGUACUUACCAAAUGUUGGAUACUUUUAGAGAUUUGCAGCCUUGUAAUCAUGUCUGUUAGUUUUAUAUUACCUCCUCUUUGUGUGGUUUUAUGCAAAUAAAAGCAUGGUGCUGGCUGAUCAGUUACCGAUGGAAUUCAGCAUUGAAGGACCUUGAUCAU